GACGAACGCUGGCGGCGUGCCUAAUACAUGCAAGUUGAGCGCUGAAGGUUGGUACUUGUACCAACUGGAUGAGCAGCGAACGGGUGAGUAACGCGUGGGGAAUCUGCCUUUGAGCGGGGGACAACAUUUGGAAACGAAUGCUAAUACCGCAUAAAAACUUUAAACACAAGUUUUAAGUUUGAAAGAUGCAAUUGCAUCACUCAAAGAUGAUCCCGCGUUGUAUUAGCUAGUUGGUGAGGUAAAGGCUCACCAAGGCGAUGAUACAUAGCCGACCUGAGAGGGGGAUCGGCCACAUUGGGACUGAGACACGGCCCAAACUCCUACGGGAGGCAGCAGUAGGGAAUCGUCGGCAAGGGACGAAAGUCUGACCGAGCAACGCCGCGUGAGUGAAGAAGGUUGUCGGAUCGUAAAACUCGGUUGGUAGAGAAGAACGUUGGUGAGAGUGGAAAGCUCAUCAAGUGACGGUAACUACCCAGAAAGGGACGGCUAACUACGUG
rnacentral:rRNA from 1 species